GAUGAACGCUGGCGGCAUGCCUAACACAUGCAAGUCGAGCGAACGGACGAGAAUUGUUCUUGUCUUAUGUUAGCGGCGGAAGGGUGAGUCCUACGUGUAUACCCUACCUAUAAGACUGGGGUACCUUAGGGAACUCUUAGCUAAUAUCGGACAAUAUUUAGAAACUCGUGGUUCAUGAGUGAAAGACGGACUUGAUGUAACUAAUAGAUGGUCCCAGGUCGCAUUAGCUAGUUGGUAGGGUAACGGCCUACCAAGGCGACGAUGCGUAACUGGUCUGAGAGGAUGAUCAGUCACACUGGAACUGAGACACGGUCCAGACUCCUACGGGAGGCAGCAGUGGGGAAUAUUGGACAAUGGGCGAAAGCCUGAUCCAGCCAUGCCGCGUGUGUGAAGAAGGUCUUCGGAUUGUAAAGCACUGUAAGUUGGGAGGAAGGGCAGUAAGUUAAUACCUUGCUGUUUUGACGUUACCAACAGAAUAAGCACCGGCUAACUUCGUG
rnacentral:rRNA from 1 species